GUACGGGAGGCAGCAGUGGGGAAUCUUGGGCAAUGGCCGAAAGGCUGACCCAGCGACGCCGCGUGUGGGAGGACGCCCUUCGGGGUGUAAACCACUGUCAGGGGGGACGAAUGCCGGUAUGGUGAACAGCCAUGCCGGGUGACGGUACCUCCAGAGGAAGCGCCGGCUAACUCUGUGCCAGCAGCCGCGGUAAGACAGAGGGCGCGAGCGUUGUUCGGAAUCAUUGGGCGUAAAGCGCGCGCAGGCGGGUGCGCAAGUCGGGAGUGAAAUUCCGGGGCUCAACUCCGGAGCGGCUUCCGAAACUGCGUGUCUAGGGACCGGUAGGGGUCGGUGGAAUUCCCGGUGUAGCGGUGGAAUGCGUAGAGAUCGGGAAGAACACCUGUGGCGAAGGCGGCCGACUGGGCCGGAUCCGACGCUGAGGCGCGAAAGCGUGGGGAGCAAACAGGAUUAGAUACCCCGGU
rnacentral:rRNA from 1 species